CUGCUUACAAGCAUGACCAAAAAAGAAGAAUAACAAGUUCCUGACUACAAAAAAAAACCUUUGACACAUAGUUCGGAAAGCUCACACGAAUCUAUAAAUAGUUCCGUGUUUUUUUUAUCUUCUUCUUCUUCUUCUUCUCGUAAU
rnacentral:ribozyme from 1 species